UGGGGAAUAUUGCACAAUGGGCGCAAGCCUGAUGCAGCCAUGCCGCGUGUAUGAAGAAGGCCUUCGGGUUGUAAAGUACUUUCAGCGGGGAGGAAGGGAGUAAAGUUAAUACCUUUGCUCAUUGACGUUACCCGCAGAAGAAGCACCGGCUAACUCCGUGCCAGCAGCCGCGGUAAUACGGCGGGUGCAAGCGUUAAUCGGAAUUACUGGGCGUAAAGCGCACGCAGGCGGUUUGUUAAGUCAGAUGUGAAAUCCCCGGGCUCAACCUGGGAACUGCAUCUGAUACUGGCAAGCUUGAGUCUCGUAGAGGGGGGUAGGAUUCCAGGUGUAGCGGUGCAAUGCGUAGAGAUCUGGAGGAAUACCGGUGGCGAAGGCGGCCCCCUGGACGAAGACUGACGCUCAGGUGCGAAAGCGUGGGGAGCAAACAGG
rnacentral:rRNA from 1 species